rnacentral:misc_RNA from 1 species
AUGAGAAUCAUCUCUUUCUACAAAAGUAUUUAAAACUAGACUUAGAGACAAAAGGAUAAAGACCCUAAACAUCAUAAUGAACUAACUUAAAAGGGAACAUGGAUCCUGUUUUGAAGUUGGCAAUAAAGGUAGUUGUAGUUUUAGAAGCUGCAACAUUAGCCAACUGAACUUACUGAGGCCUAUUUUAAAGUUUCCUGUAUUUGCGCUUUGUAUGGCCUAGCUCAUUACAGGAAUAGCACACAAUUCCUCUGGACUUCUAAUUGCUACUAUCAACACUUUUUUCGCGGUUGGUAGUUCCCCCUCUUUUGUUACCACCUUUGUUGCCCUAUUGUCCAGCCUCAUUCCAAUUUCCUCGACUUACAAGAGCACUUUUAGCAUGAGGCCGCAAAGAUGGAUGUUUCAAUGCAGAGAACUCUAGUGAAAGUCUUAUGCAAGGAAGGAAGCUCAGAAAUAGAGAGGAUCUAAGACCUAGUAGUGACAAACUCUUAAGGUAAGCUAGCAAGAAAACUCAUAACUGCCAUUUGUUCAUGUUGUGAUUGUUGAACUUUAACCUCCGUACUAGAAGUAGGACAUUAAGUUCAUAAAUUCGUUUAAAAUCCAUUAAAUAAGUAUUAAGAGGUCUAUUCUGUUUUUCUGAACGAUAAAAAGCUUUACAUGCAUCAUAGACACGGAAACAUUCUCUUACUAGAAUACAUGAAAUCAAGGUAAUCCAUUAGCUCUUCAAAAAAUUCAUAGUGGUUCAUUAAAAUAAUGACCUCACUAUCAAUAGAAUUAUGAAUUUGCAAAAGUAAUCUAGCAUCUUCUCGCAAGCAUGUUUGCUCCGUGUCAUCUUUAAGCAGAUCACAUCUAUACUCUGCAGAUGCAAAUGGACUGUUUUAUCUAGUAGAGAAAGUUUGCUUUAUUAAGUUUGUCUUCCAUGAUUUUUUUCAUCACUGGAAUCACAUUUUCUACCAUAGGCUUGCUUUCUAUCAUUUUAUAACUAUAAGACUACCACAGGCCAAUUCACAAUUUUGACACUUAAACAACCCCAUCACAGUAAUAGGUUUCUCACAAAAACUUAACAGCAACAGGUUAGGGUUAAUGGCACACAGUACACAACACCAGAGCACUUGAUUAUAAUUCAAGUCUUCCCUAGACCAUCAAAACAUGCAGAGAAUAUUAGAUGUAGAAAGAG